UGUCUAUACAAAAACCCUAGCACUCCUCUAUAAAUUGCUUAAACUUCUUCCUCCACCGUAAUAAGGUCCCAAAGCAUAUAACCCCCUAGUUGGUGACAGUAAAAGUUGAAGAAUGAGGUUUCUAGCACUUGCUUUAGUCUUGAUGAUGAUGGUGAGCUCUUGUUUGGCCACAAAUCGGAAAACUUUGAUGGUUGAAAUGCAUGAGCAAGAGCAGCAGCAGCUAAUCGAUCAGGAUAUGAGCAAUCCAGACGAUACAAAUGAUCACCACUCCAUUCCUAGAGAAAAGUUCGCUCCUUAUGACAAUGGGGAUGGGGCUAAACCAAAGUCUACGGGUAAUUAGCCAAGUGAUGCCUGUUAUGUAAGGCUUAAUAAUUUAUAGACUAGUCCAAGCAAAAAAUAAAAGAGUAAAGCUUCCGUCUAAUACUCUUUGAGUAUUUGGACUAGCCAUCAAAGACAUGCGCCCGUGUCUAAGCACUAAAGGUAAGCCAAAUCUAUAAUGGUAUAGAUGGCAUAAGUUUGAAUUAUCUAUACAUAUUGUAUUUUGUGACCUAUUGCCAUGUACAGCACGUACGUACGUCCUGUGGUAUAAAUAAUCAUAAACUAUGUUUGGACUAUUUUUAAUUAGUUAUUGCUUGGUUGUACUCUUGUAUAAUUAAUGGAAAGUACUCAGUUUUGUAA